GAUGAACGCUGGCGGCGUGCCUAAUACAUGCAAGUCGAGCGGACUUCUUAAGAGCUUGCUCUUAAGAAGUUAGCGGCGGACGGGUGAGUAACACGUAGGUAACCUGCCUAUAAGACUGGGAUAACUCCGGGAAACCGGGGCUAAUACCGGAUAACAUUUUGCACCGCAUGGUGCGAAAUUGAAAGGCGGCUUCGGCUGUCACUUAUAGAUGGACCUGCGGCGCAUUAGCUAGUUGGUGAGGUAGCGGCUCACCAAGGCGACGAUGCGUAGCCGACCUGAGAGGGUGAUCGGCCACACUGGGACUGAGACACGGCCCAGACUCCUACGGGAGGCAGCAGUAGGGAAUCUUCCGCAAUGGACGGAAGUCUGACGGAGCAACGCCGCGUGAGCGAUGAAGGCCUUCGGGUCGUAAAGCUCUGUUGUUAGGGAAGAACAAGUACCGGAGUAACUGCCGGUACCUUGACGGUACCUGACCAGAAAGCCACGGCUAACUACGUGCCAGCCGCCGCGGUAAAAC
rnacentral:rRNA from 1 species